ACGGGGUGCAGCAGGCGCGAAAACUUUGCAAUGUGCGAAAGCACGACAAGGUUAAUCCGAGUGGUUUGUGCUAAACGAACCUUUUGUCAGUCCUAGAAACACUAACGAAUAAGGGGUGGGCAAGUUCUGGUGUCAGCCGCCGCGGUAAAACCAGCACCUCAAGUGGUCAGGAUGAUUAUUGGGCCUAAAGCAUCCGUAGCCGGCUCUGUAAGUUUUCGGUUAAAUCUGUACGCUUAACGUACAGGCUGCCGGGAAUACUGCAGAGCUAGGGAGUGGGAGAGGUAGACGGUACUCGGUAGGAAGGGGUAAAAUCCUUUGAUCUAUUGAUGACCACCUGUGGCGAAGGCGGUCUACCAGAACACGUCCGACGGUGAGGGAUGAAAGCUGGGGGAGCAAACCGGAUUAGAUACCCGGGUAGUCCCAGCUGUAAACUAUGCAAACUCAGUGAUGCAUUGGCUUGUGGCCAAUGCAGUGCUGCAGGGAAGCCGUUAAGUUUGCCGCCUGGGAAGUACGUACGCAAGUAUGAAACUUAAAGGAAUUGGCGGGGGAGCAC
rnacentral:rRNA from 1 species